CGUAUUCACCCACGUGACCCCUAUCCAUAACAACAAGCUUUGGCGGCCAUCUUGGGGUCCAUGUACGGCAUUGUUUUGCUGUGUUUUAUUCCGCUCUGACCAUCAUAUUCUGAAGGAGACACAAUUUCAGUGCCUUGUAAUUAUGGUACUGUGCCUCAUUGUUGGAUGUGGGACUAGGACGGGUAAAGCGCACACACACCGCGAAAAGGUUAGGUUAUUUCGCGUCCCGCGUGUGAUAACUAACCAGGGGGAACAUGUGGAUGGACUAACAUCUACUCGGCGCAGACAAUGGAUUUCUGCCAUAAGUAGAGCGAAUCUGACAGCGGAGAAGUUGGAGAAUGAACGUGUGUGUGGUAGCUUCAAAAGUUCUUGCUGCUCCUGAGGAACAAGACAACGCUACUACUGGUACCAAAGAAACAUGGACAACUUCACAUCAUCCAGAAAACCAGACUCCAUCCAGUUGUACGGAACUCACAGGGCAUGGGGGGACGUACAUCUGACAAGCACCUUACAGCAAACUGCGGUCUGUAGGAAAGACUGAAACCUGGUGACUUAGUCAUGGCUGAUCGUGGUUUCACAAUUCAAGAGAGCCUUGCCCUACGCCAAGUGAAACUGGCCAUUCCUACAUUCACUCGUGGUAGCAAACAGCUUGACCCAGUUGACAUCGAGCACACAAGAGGAAUUGCCAAUGUGAGGAUACAUGUUGAACGUGUGAUUGGACAGUUGAAACAGAAGUACAAGAUGUUACAGGAAACCUUGGAGAUUGAUUAUGUCAGCCUUACUGGUGGUUCCACAGAACCGAUGGUAGACAGAAUUAUCAGAGUAUGUGCUGUGUUAACAAACAUGUGCCCAUCAGUUGUACCCUUAACUUGAAUUGCAGAUGUCUCAACCAUUACAUGAUAAGGACACUGUUUUUUAUUUGAUA